rnacentral:rRNA from 1 species
UGCAACCCGACUCCGUGAAGCUGGAUUCGCUAGUAAUCGCGCAUCAGCCAUGGCGCGGUGAAUACGUUCCCGGGCCUUGUACACACCGCCCGUCAAGCCAUGGGAGUCGGGAGUGCCUGAAGUGCGUGAGCGCAAGCAGCGCCCUAAGGUAAAACCGGUGACUGGGGCUAAGUCGUAACAAGGUACC